rnacentral:tRNA from 1 species
GCAUUGGUGAUUGAGUGGUAGAAAUUUUUGCCUUCCAUGUGGGAGACCCGGGUUUGAUUCCUGGCCAAUGCA